CCAUUUAGAAAAUAUGUGAAAUUAUGUAAAGAUGAGAUGUGUUGCUUUUGGUAAAGUAAAGUUUAGUUUCUUUUUACUUUCCUUUUGUUGAACGGGAACUUAGUGGAGACCUCUAUAUCAUUUCUCGUGGAAUUUCGAUGCUUUUUGAAAACAAUAUCAACGUUCUUUGAAAUGAGAUACAAGCAUCAAAACCAUGCCUAUUGCCUGGUGUCUUGGAUGACUCGGUUUUUUGUGCAAAACCACCAUCAACAAUGACAGGAAAAUGGCACCAAUUAAGGUAAGGAAAAUAAUAUACCGGACAUGGAAAAUUUGCUAAUGCUGGUCAGGCGUUUACGGAGAUGAACUGAAGAGAACACCGUAUAGAAGUUGGAUGAAAGACAGUUAUUGAAAAGACCUAUAAAAAUUUUACAACAUUUAUUUUCAAAUAUAACGAGACUAAUAGGCAUUUUGAAAGAACACAAAAUAUCACCAAACAAAGUGCCUUGAUUACGACAUAUAUAUUUAAUAUGAAUGCCAAAAAUUAUUUUUUAUUUCACAUUUAUUAGCAUGCGUUUUAUUUAAAACUCUUUCGGACAACACAGCACUAUAUAUACAUAUCCCACCCAACAUGUUGUGUUCAUUCAAUAUUUCUCGACCUCUAGACAUUAAACCAUUUAGUAAUAGCUGUAGUAACAUCAAUAAUAUAUAUAGGGACUUUCUUGUGUUACUGUAUUGACGCACUGGAGAAGUGUUUAUGUUGUGAAACAUCCAAGAAAUAAGCAAAAAGCAAAUAAAGAUAAUGUCUCUUUAAA